GGAGAGGUGGCGGAGUGGUCGAUCGCGCACGCUUGGAAAGCGUGUUUACGGGAAACCGUAACGAGGGUUCGAAUCCCUCUCUCUCCG
rnacentral:tRNA from 1 species